UAUACAUAUAUAUAAAAACUCUUUUUAUAUAUAAGCUCUUUUUAGUGCAUUGAUCAAAACUCCGCGUUUUGUGAGCUGUACGUGGGUUUAAGAGAACUUGCUUGGCCACAACACAACCGGCGCAGUAGAGAUAAAACAGGACAAGAUGGCUCAACCACUGAAUCCACACAACGGAGUUCAUUCAUUAAACAAACUGAGUUUCUGCUACAACAGCUUUAGCAGCACUACUGCUAAAUCGAAGUUGCUUCAGAAGGCAAAAUCCUGUUUCCAUCGGAGAUAUGACACCUUGUCUCGCUGUCAACAUUGCGCGCAAUCCAUUUCUCCAGGUGUUUUGAAUGUAGAAGAUCAUGUUAAAAGGACACCUGAAUUCGAGGAAUAUGUUUUGGAUGGAGUAAAAUCGAACACCUUUCCACAUGUACAAACUCUUAGAAGAUUUCCUAGGGAGGAACUUGUUUCAAAAGUUGUUCUUGUGAGGUUUGAUUCUAGUGUCUUGCUUGGAGAAGAACUCGAUCUAAGUUCUCAAUCAGUUUCAAGUGCACUUUUCACCAUUAGGUAUUUACAUGAAGUUGGGGCCAGAGUAAUUCUUUUGAGUAAUUGGAACAGAAAAAAUAAUUCAGAAAUUCUAUCUGUGGAAUCUGUUGCAGAUAUCCUAUCCGUAGCUCUCCAAUACAAAGUUCUUAGUGUACAGAGCAUUUCUUGUAAGAAACCAGUGGACAUGGACAUCUUUAAGAAGGCAGAUAUUAUUAUUCUUGAGAAUCUAAUGAACUUCAAAGAGGAAGUUGCCAACUGUCCAAAAUUUUCUAAAUUAUUAUCAUCAGGAGUUGAUAUUUUGGUCAAUGACUCGUUUUCUCAGUCUCAUAAAAUUCUUGCUUCAACUGUUGGUGUUGCUCAGUUUUGCUAUGCCAGCUUGGCUGGUUUUCACUUUGAAGAAAGCUUAUGUCAGCUGAAGAAGGUUGCAAAACUUGACAAGAAACCAUAUUAUGCAAUUAUUGGAGGGGGAAAUCUCCAUAAUAAAGCAACUGCUUUGCGUUGUUUAGCUUCUUGUUGUGAUGGGUUGGUCUUUGUUGGAAUGAUGGCAUUUCAGAUAAUGCAUGCUUUAGGGCUUCCUGUUACUUCGGAUUUAGUGGAAAAAGAGGCAUAUAAAGCAGCUUUAGAUCUAAUUCAGUUUGCACAUGAGAAAAACAUAAGUAUUCUGUAUCCAAAAGACUUUUGGUGCAUGAAUGAUCAUCUUCCAAAGCAACUGGAAAUAUUUCCUGCUCAGAGUAUUGUGGAUGGUUGGGUACCUGUUGAUCUUGGGCCACAGGCAGUGGAAGAGAUGAAAUCUUUGAUUAUGAAAUGCAAGAAAAUUUUGUGGAUCGGUCCGGUGAAGUACAAGUUUUCUGGUCAACACACAAGUGGAGCAUCUAAAUUGGCUACAAUGCUUUCUAAACUAGGUCAAAAUGACUGUGAUAUAACUAUUGUUGGGAAUAUAGCAUGUAAUCCAAUCACAAAAGAAUCAAGUUCAGGUUUUAACGUGGUUGAGAGUGCAUCAGUUGUAUGGGAAUUUCUGAAAGGAAGAAAGCUUCAUGGAGUCUUGACCUUAGACAGGGGAUAUCCAUUUGAGGUUGAUUGGAAUGCUGCCUACUGUGAUCCUACCCAACCAUUGGUGGUUGAUAUUGGAAGUGGGAAUGGACUGUUUCUUCUUGGAAUGGCUAGAAAGAGGAAGGAUUUAAAUUUUCUCGGCCUAGAGAUUAAUGCAAAGCUUGUAAGACGUUGUCUAGAUUCUGUCCAUCUAUCAGGCAAAAAUAAUGGGUACUUCAUUGCAACAAAUGCCACAUCAACAUUUCGUUCAAUAGUUUCUAGUUACCCUGGAAAGUUAAUUCUUGUUUCAAUACAGUGUCCAAACCCUGAUUUCAAUAGACCAGAACAUAGAUGGAGAAUGCUUCAAAGGUCAUUGGUUGAAGCAGUGGCAGAUGUCCUUGAAUAUGAGGGGAAGGUGUUUUUGCAAUCUGACAUAGAAGAAGUUGCCAUCAGGAUGAAAGAACAAUUUUUAAAAUAUGGCAAAGGUAAACUUGCUCUAGUGCAAGACCACAGCAAGACAAAAUAUAAUCAAGUAGCAUGGCUUGAGGAGAACCCAUUUGGAGUUCUAUCAGAUUGGGAGCAACAUGUUAUAGACCGCGGAGCCCCAAUGUACAGAUUAAUGCUUUCUAAAUCAUCCAGUGUACAAUGAAGUUAGCAUUUUGGCUGUUUAGUGAAAGCUAAUUAAUAUCAUACACCAACAAGACCAGAUGAGCUAAUCUGUACUUCUUGAAGAUUAUUUACUAAGCAACAUAAUGUCAUUGGGACAAAAUCUGAAAGAUGCAGCCUUUCUUGGAGGCUUAAAAGUUUACGUCUGAGAAAGACUUGUCACACCAGUCACCAAGCAUUGGAAGCAAUUAGACAGACAAUUAGUGUAAGAUGAUAUACUUGGACCAAAGUGUAAGACUUUCUUGGAUGAACAAAGCAUAAGAGGGUCAAGUCAAGAUAAGGCUGGACACAGGUUCAAAAGAGGGUAAAACAAGCAUCACCUUGUUAAAAUUAUCUUGCCAAAGUUGCCAAGCUGUUCUCAAAUAAAUUUUAAAAAUGACCAGUAAUUUAUGAAGAUGAAUGCCUGCCCAUUUGAAUAUUGUGCUAGCAAAAGUUAAUUGUCUAAAACAUUGAGUUAGGUUUUGAGUUAUUUUGACUAAUAUAAAGUUUUUUACUUGA